rnacentral:rRNA from 1 species
AUACGGAGGAUCCGAGCGUUAUCCGGAUUUAUUGGGUUUAAAGGGUGCGCAGGCGGCCAUUUAAGUCAGCGGUUAAAUCGUGGGGCUCAACCCCAUUCUGCCGUUGAUACUGGGUGGCUUGAUUGCGGUCGAGGUUGACGGAAUUCGUUGUGUAGCGGUGAAAUGCAUAGAUAUGACGAAGAACACCGAUUGCGUAGGCAGCUGACCAGACCGCAAAUGACGCUCAUGCACGAAAGUGCGGGGAUCGAACAGGAUUAGAUACCCUGGUAGUCCGCACAGUAAACGAUGAAUACUUGUUUUCGGCGAUAUAAUGUCGGAGGCAAAGCGAAAGCGAUAAGUAUUCCACCUGGGGAGUACGCCGGCAACGGUGAAACUUAAAGGAAUUGACGGGG